GACGAACGCUGGCGGCGUGCUUAACACAUGCAAGUCGAACGGAAAGGCUCCAGCUUGCUGGAGUACUCGAGUGGCGAACGGGUGAGUAACACGUGGGUAAUCUGCCCUGCACUCUGGGAUAAGCCUGGGAAACUGGGUCUAAUACUGGAUAUGACCUUUCUCCUUAUGGGGUUUGGUGGAAAGUUUUUCGGUGUAGGAUGAGCCCGCGGCCUAUCAGCUUGUUGGUGGGGUGAUGGCCUACCAAGGCGACGACGGGUAGCCGGCCUGAGAGGGUGAUCGGCCACAUUGGGACUGAGAUACGGCCCAGACUCCUACGGGAGGCAGCAGUGGGGAAUAUUGCACAAUGGGCGGAAGCCUGAUGCAGCGACGCCGCGUGAGGGAUGACGGCCUUCGGGUUGUAAACCUCUUUCAGCAGGGACGAAACGUAAGUGACGGUACCUGCAGAAGAAGCACCGGCUAACUAUGUG
rnacentral:rRNA from 1 species